UUAGCCCUAAACCCAGAUAAUUUUUUAAACAAAAUUAUUCGCCAGAGUACUACUAGCAAUAGCCUGAAACUCAAAGGACUUGGCGGUGCUUCAUAUCCCUCUAGAGGAGCCUGUCCUAUAAACGAUAAACCCCGAUAGACCUUACCAACCCUAGCUAAUACAGCCUAUAUACCGCCAUCCUCAGCAAACCCUGAUAAAGGAAAUAUAGUAAGCAAGAUUGUUAAAAUACAAAAAUGUUAGGUCAAGGUGUAGCUUAUGAGUUGGAAAGAGAUGGGCUACAUUUUCUCAAAACAGAAAAAAAAACGAACAUUCUUAUGAUAUUAAGAGUUAAAGGAGGAUUUAGUAGUAA
rnacentral:rRNA from 1 species